UGGGGAAUAUUGGACAAUGGGCGAAAGCCUGAUCCAGCCAUGCCGCGUGUGUGAAGAAGGUCUUCGGAUUGUAAAGCACUUUAAGUUGGGAGGAAGGGCAUUAACCUAAUACGUUCGUGUUUUGACGUUACCGACAGAAUAAGCACCGGCUAACUCUGUGCCAGCAGCCGCGGUAAUACAGAGGGUGCAAGCGUUAAUCGGAAUUACUGGGCGUAAAGCGCGCGUAGGUGGUUUGUUAAGUUGGAUGUGAAAUCCCCGGGCUCAACCUGGGAACUGCAUUCAAAACUGACUGACUAGAGUAUGGUAGAGGGUGGUGGAAUUUCCUGUGUAGCGGUGAAAUGCGUAGAUAUAGGAAGGAACACCAGUGGCGAAGGCGACCACCUGGACUAAUACUGACGCUGAGGUGCGAAAGCGUGGGGAGCAAACA
rnacentral:rRNA from 1 species